CUGCGGGGAUGAUCACCCUGAACUCUCUCUUACUGAUAAAACCGUGAAGAAUCACCUUAAAUAUUCUCUGAGUGGC